rnacentral:snRNA from 11 species
AGCUUUGCGCAGUGGCAGUAUCGUAGCCAAUGAGGUUUAUCCGAGGCGCGAUUAUUGCUAAUUGAAACAUCAGAGGGUACUUGUUUAGAUAAAUGUCAGAGGGUGAUAAAUAGAAUCGUAUUUUGAGCAGUGCCUUAAAAAUGAGCACUUGCUAAAUUAUCAAGUUGUCAGUGCAUGCAGGAGUUAUGAUCAAUGUUUGGACAGAUCCAAAGGAU